ensembl:lncRNA
ACGUCAGGCUCCAGAGUCCUUGUGGCUGACGCAGCAAUUAUUGGUCUUGAGUGGAAAGAAGAGAGAUGCCUGUAGAGGUCAUGGGUGUAAAGGGAAGCUCUGGUCUCAGUCAUUGCAGGGAGGGCAAGUUAAUUGGGAAGGUGUUAGUAAAAUUUUCAUACUAGUCCAAAAGUAGUCAAGAUGAAAGUCUUAGUUCAAAAGAUAUCUUGAGACCCGCUAGUCCACAAUUUAUAGAAGGCUGCCCACCCUUACACGUGACUUACUUUCCUUUCUUCGUUCAAAAGAAAGUGUUUAUGGAUGACCUACUACGUAAUAAGCAACUGCAUACCAGGCUGGGGUGAUGCUCAGUGACUGAAUCCAUGCAGGGAACUCGUUCAUAGUCCAGAUCUCUCCUUUGAGGAUUUUAUGAGGUCCGAAAUGCAGCUCUUCCAAGAAAUAGAACAUUCGCAGCUUGCUAGCCGGGUAAGAGACUUACUACUAUUGAAUGAAAUAAGGUUGAGUAAAUACAAAGAAAAUACAAAAUACACUUAACCUGAUUGAUAUUUUUGCCCCAACGUCUACCAGUGACUUUCUGUUUCCACUCCCUAAAAGAGAGCAUCUUUCUUCAUUUGGAAAAGAUAAGCAAUAAUUAGAGGAUGGAAGAGAGGGUUAAGGGAAGCAGAGGACAGCCAAAGAAGUGGUCAAGUACAGCAUGUUUAUGAGAAAUGCAAAGAACUUUCAGAGCUGUUCAUCCUCAGCAUGUUUCUUUGAGGGACAAUGAAGUAGGAUUGUUCUCAUUUUGUAACAAUGGGGGUUUAGGUUAGGGGGUUUAGCAUCCAGAUCCAUGGAGUGCUUUAUCUAGAACAGGAAUUGCACACCUAAAGCAAGAUCACUCUUCUGAGGCUAGUUUGGCUAUUGUAUGAUUAUUAGCAUUAAUAAUAUUUAUUGAGUACUUUGUAUAUAUGAUAAGGAAACACUUUAAGGAUGGGAGAAGAUCCAGCUGCAAGGCUGUAAUUCAUUGUGUGGUCUCAUUUCACCUGUGCUUAUUCAUCUCUACAGUGACAUUGAGACCGAUUUUCCUUCCACUGUAAAUGUCCCUUAGACCUUCACACUGUCCAAUAAGAUAGGCACAUGUGACUACUUAAUUUGGUUAAAAUGAAAUAAAAUUUCAAAUUCCAUUCCUUUAUUGCACUGGCCACAUUUCAAGUCCUCAGUAGGCACAUGUUACUACCACAUGAGACAGCACAUAUAUAGAACAUUUUCAUCAUCAAAGAAAGUUCUCCUGAACACUGGUAGACCCAGUAAGAAUUUACAGGAUAAACAGAGAGGAUAAAUUGUGAAGAACAGACCUUGUUAAAAGAGUAGCAGUGAAAAGUUGUAUUCCUGAACACCACAGACCCACCCCUACCCUCACUCCAUAUAAGGAACCAGCUCGCCCCCCACACCCCCUCCACCCCACCCCUGCAGGGAGCAAGCAAGAGAACCUGUUGUUUUCGCUCCCUAGUGCUGCAGCAGGAUUCCCCACAAAGCCUUGCCUGGAAGGAAAAAAAAAAAAAGGUAAAGAUGAAGAGUUGUAACAGGGUUUUACAAAACAGGUUUU